GCCGCGCAGAACGCGGAAGAGCCGGGAUUCUUUCCCGGUGCGGAGCAGACCCGCACGGCCCGGGCGCUCGCCGAGCCCUUUCUUGUUUGUUUUUUAAUGACCCUUAUUUUUUUAGUUCUACAAUACAGAAUAUAAAAGGUAGAGAUAAGCAGAUAGGAAAGGAGAACUCUUCCGCCAUCACGUGAGACUUGAACUCCCGUCUCGUCGGGUCCAUAAGUUUGGACGGCGGGCCGUGUCGCCCUCGGCUGGGAGCUCCGUCUUUCAAGCGCGUUCGCCCUCCUGCCCCUCCUAACGGACACUUCCGCACCUAUAAGAUUUUUCCUGGUUAUUGGAACAGACGAUCUUUCAACAAACUAUGUCAUCAUCUAUUCCCUGUAAUCAGCCUAAUAAUAAAGGUCCAGACAGAUGGACUAUUUUUCCUUUCUAUUUACUGAAACAGAGAAGAAUUGAGGACUGAAGCAUGUCAUCACUGUAUCAUUUCAUCCUGAAUGUACGAAAUCCUAACAGCUUAGAAUCAAGCAUAGUUCUUGGCAUACAACAGGAGGAGACUGAUAAUCUGUUGACUGAGUGAAUGAAUGAAAAAAUAAGGAAAUGAAGUUACUUUCUACCACUAAAGAAGCUGCCUGCUGGGAAGGAGACAUGAACACUAAUUUUUAAAUGCCUGCACAGUGAGUCACAAUGGUGCUGUUCUGGACAACCACGAAGCCUUGGCCAUCAUGAACAACAGGCUGGCAGAAACCAGUGGGGACAGGUAAGCUACUUUUCUUGAAAGCAGAAUGUCUCAGACUUUAGCUUUGAAGAGGAAGAGUUGCCAGGACUGGACGAGCACUUUUGAAUUUCCCAUGAUGCCAGACCCAGUGGCUUCCUGGGUUCAGCUGGAGAGCUGCCCCCAGGACCAGAACUUUGGGACAAGCCUGGCCAGCAUGAAAGUUCACCAGAGGUGGUUCCGGUGGU